GACGAACGCUGGCGGCGUGCUUAACACAUGCAAGUCGAACGGAAAGGCCCUGCUUUUGUGGGGUGCUCGAGUGGCGAACGGGUGAGUAACACGUGAGUAACCUGCCCUUGACUUUGGGAUAACUUCAGGAAACUGGGGCUAAUACCGGAUAGGAGCUCCUGCUGCAUGGUGGGGGUUGGAAAGUUUCGGCGGUUGGGGAUGGACUCGCGGCUUAUCAGCUUGUUGGUGGGGUAGUGGCUUACCAAGGCUUUGACGGGUAGCCGGCCUGAGAGGGUGACCGGCCCCAUUGGGACUGAGAUACGGCCCAGACUCCUACGGGAGGCAGCAGUGGGGAAUAUUGCACAAUGGGCGGAAGCCUGAUGCAGCAACGCCGCGUGCGGGAUGACGGCCUUCGGGUUGUAAACCGCUUUCGCCUGUGACGAAGCGUGAGUGACGGUAAUGGGUAAAGAAGCACCGGCUAAAUACGUG
rnacentral:rRNA from 1 species